rnacentral:lncRNA from 1 species
AGAGAGAGAUGGGUUCGAGAGAGAGACUGCGUGAGAGAGAGAGAUGGGUUCGAGAGAGAGACUGCGUGAGAGAGAGAGAUGGGUUCGAGAGAGAGAGAGAGAGAUGGGUUCGAGAGAGAGACUGCGAGAGAGAGAGAUAUGGGUUCGAGAUAGAGACUGCGUGAGAGAGAGAGAUGGCUUCGAGAGAGAGAGACUGCGUGAGAGAGAGAGAGAGACUGCGAAAGAGAGAGACUGCGAGAGAGAUGGCUAAGAGAGAUCAGAGGUUCAUGGUUGCAGAGAUCAGAGGUUGAAGAGAUCAGAUUUGCUUUGGAUUGAAGUCGGCGACAGAUCUAGGUUAGAAAAAUUAAUGGCAAGACUUUGUAAUUUUUAAAAUAAAAUAAGGGUAUUACCGAUUUUUAGCACUUUUGGAUGAGCUUGCUGUAGUUGGAAGCGUUCAAACAUCUCAUCAAGAAAUCCCGAAAAAUCCGGAUGAGUUUUCAAAAUUAAUCUGGAUGCCGCGUCCAACUUAACCUCCUGUUUCGCGCCAAACAAAC